UUGCUAAGCAAAACAGGACCCAAGAGAUGGUCUGGGAAACAGAGCAGUCAUGACAGAAAGAACAGAGGCAGAGAUACGGGAUGAAUUAAUUUAGGGCAAGCAUCUGCUCCCAGAACAGUGCCAGACAGGUUACCAACAUCCAGUGAGUCUUGGCAGUGAGAAGAUUACCCAGGAUCAUCUCCUGGCUCUUCCACCAUUCUGCUACAGUCUGGUGUUAAGACUAAAAGGCUCUGCAGGGGCCUCAAGGCUGUCUGCUUUCUCUCUACCCUAAAGAACACCAAGAUGAGGGAGAUGAGGGCAGGCUGCUGAGGGCACUGAC